rnacentral:tRNA from 1 species
CGCGGUCGGGGUCGCCGUGGUCGCGGCCCGCGCGCUGACGUCGGGCGCGCCCGGGGAGACCGCGCUCGUCGCGUUCGGGCUCGUGGGGCUGCUC